AUGGGCUUAGAUGAUGGACCU
rnacentral:siRNA from 1 species